GAUUGGGAAGCGAAAAUCGCGUUUAGUUUCGGCCUAAAAUUUGGUGUAAACUCACCCCCUAUCU
rnacentral:tRNA from 1 species